rnacentral:rRNA from 1 species
CCUGGCUCAGAACGAACGCUGGCGGCAUGCCUAACACAUGCAAGUCGAACGAGCCCUUCGGGUUUAGUGGCGCACGGGUGCGUAACGCGUGGGAACCUGCCUUUAGGUUCGGAAUAACUCUGAGAAAUUAGUGCUAAUACCGGAUGAUGUCUUCGGACCAAAGAUUUAUCGCCUUUAGAUGGGCCCGCGUUGGAUUAGAUAGUUGGUGGGGUAAAGGCCUACCAAGUCGACGAUCCAUAGCUGGUCUGAGAGGAUGAUCAGCCACACUGGGACUGAGACACGGCCCAGACUCCUACGGGAGGCAGCAGUGGGGAAUAUUGGACAAUGGGCGAAAGCCUGAUCCAGCAAUGCCGCGUGAGUGAUGAAGGCCUUAGGGUUGUAAAGCUCUUUUACCCGAGAUGAUAAUGACAGUAUCGGGAGAAUAA